AGUUUCAUGAUUAGGAUUAAUAUUAGUUUAAUGUUGAUGUUAAUCAUGCUAAUUGAGUAGUUUAGUCUAGAGGUUAGGGAUGAAGCUUUGGGAUUGAAUUUGGAGAAGUUUUGGGAAAAUUCAUGAUUGAUGUUGUGAUUAAAUGUGAUUUAGUGAUAGGAUUUCCAUGACUAGUUGAGUAGUAGUCGCGAAUGCUAUUCGAUUGGAUUAGAUUGGAAUGUAUGAUUAGGUUUGGCAAGACAUUGUGAGCCUAAUUUGUGCAAGUGAAUGAUAGUUCCUAUUAUAUGCUAGUUAGUUUAAUCUAGGAUUAGGCGAAAGCUCUUCCGUGGGUUAGACGCUUAGCGUUCCCUAUCCGAGAGGUGGCGGGUUCGUCAUUAGUUUUCAUUCCCCUAUUUGCUAUGUCGUUGCAUAUUCAUGAAUGUCUUGACCUUGUGCUUUCUUUGAUUCGAUUCCAUAGCUGAUUCCCGAAGUCUCUAGAGUUUCUUUAUUUGUUUGCAUUUCUAGAUUUCAUUAGUUUAAUUCAAAAACUCAAAUUCCAUCCGAACUAGCUUGUGAACGCAUAGAUUGAUAAGUCAAACAUAUCCAUUCCUAUGGGGCGAUCCCUAUGCUUGCCGCUCUAGUCAAUAUAGCCGGUUAGUUAGGUGUUUUAUAAAUUUUGUUUGAUUAGGUUGUUUUCUAUCAACGAUGGAAAAUACACCUAUCAAAGCCUUGGAGUUCUUUUGAUGUUUAAUUAUAACCUAAGGGGAUUUAGGUUAGCUGUGAAAAAAUCAGAUCUAAACACACACUCAAAAAAGGAGAGGAGAGAAAGAGAGAAAGGAGUUCGUAGCUUUGAGGGCAGCCAUCAGAAAACUGCUGUUUGCCGGAGAUUCAACGGUCGGAUUGUGCUGAUUUUUGGUCAGCUUGUUGAGGAUACAAAGGGCCGCAUUUUGAACGGUUGGAUCGUCUAUUGGAGCUCUGGUGUGUCCGUGGUCGCUGCUGGACAGAACCUACGUUUUUGGUUAGAACGAAUGAGAAAUGAGAAUACUCUUUUAGGAGAUGAAAUCUCAUGUGAACAAGAUCAUCAAGGAUUACGAAGUGAGCAAAUGCAUUUAGAGAAGGUUUACGGCACAGGUAACCAAGGAACUUGGUGACAUGUCUUGUAUGUAUAAUGAUUCUUCAAGAAGUGGAAACUCGGUAGAGAGAGUCCUUGCUUUGGAGCUGGAACUUGCUGAAGCCUUUCAGGCCAAGAAGAAGUCAACCAUCCAAUUUCAGAGUUAUUUCUUGAAGCUACACAGUGACGAAGCUGCAAUAUUUCAUAGCUUCAGAGACAUAAAUGAACUGAUAAAAGACUUGCUGGAGAUGAAGGAAAGAUACAGUGUUAUGGAGUCAGAACUCAAAGGAAUGCAUGAGCGGUACUCUCAACUAAGCCUGGAUUUUUCCGAGGUUCAAGGAGAGAGACAAAAGCUUACAAUAACGCUCAAAAAUGUGCGUUCACCAAAAAGGCUUUUAUCUCGGCCUCAGUUAUCCACCCAUGAGGAUUCAUCUCCUUGAUCUUACACUUUUUUUAUCCAUUUUCAUUACAUGAACAUCAAGCAGUUGCCUAAAUGUACACUUAUGCGUGUAAAUAACGAGCAUUGUAUAAUUUCUUGUUAUAGGUUAGAAUUCAAUGCCCAAAUGUUCUCAGGACUGUUGCAUAGGUAAAGUCCGGAUUUUUUCGACCUGUAUUUAUGUAUCAAUAUGUAUGCAUAGGAAGCAAACUACAAAAUCUAGUUGUUAAAUCAUAAAAUUUUGAUUUGUAAUUGAACUCAAAUUCCACCUGAACAUGGAAGCUUUUUGAUGCUUUGGUGA